CUGAGCCCUUCUGCCUUUCAUUCUUUGGUUGGACUCUUUGUCAAGCCAGAGAAGCUACCAACACUCGGUCAGGUGGCAGCAGAGGAGGUUGCCAGUGUGCCUGUGUGGACAGAGAAAUGGCGUGACCCAGACAGAAUCCCUGAGGCCGAAUCUAUACAAUGUCUAUACGAGAAAGGAAACGCUUUGGACUCCCGAGUCCUCUCUCAGAACCCCUCAUGAAGUCUUCUGAUUGCUGGUGCCUCUUCAGUCCUGGAUCCAGCUCAUCUUCAUUCUUGCCCUUUUGAGCUCUCUUACAGGCCUCUUCCAAGGCCCGUACCCCCAAGGCUUUGGCUGCCUCUUCAAGGUUCCCCAGCUCCCCAGGCUGUAGCUCUACACUCUCUCCAUAGACAAAGGUCAGAAGCUGAGCAAAGGUAGAAGGGCUUAUGUCUUCAACCAGAGCCCACCGGCCCCUGCAGCCCAGCCUUGGGCUUGCACCUGCCAGCACUAGGCUGUGAGCCGGGAACUCCAGGCCCCCUACUGUGAUCAGGGUAUCACACAGUGCUGGCCGGAGUCUAGCCGCUAACUGUACCAACCUGUCAGAGCCAUAUGGGCUGAUUAGUCUUGUGGGGGUCUGGGGCAUUGUUCCUGGCUAAUCUACCAGUUUCACAGGCUCUGAGAGGAAAGCCACAAUGGGGGAUCCAUGGUAGAAGUGGGGGAGAAACCGCAUACUCUCUGGCCUGUGGAGGGGAAGGGAGAAAGAGUGAGUGUCUGGGCUCAGAUUGGUGCUGUCUGUCCUGAAUGAAUCAAAUAAACUAGGCCAAAGGCCAGCUGUGGGGAUGCCAUACUAGGAGAAUGUACACUGGGCCAGAGGUUAGAUUUGGGGCCUGAAGAACAACAGCCAGGCAGUUAGCAGAGGUAUCAGAUAGUGGGUUUAGGGCUGGUAUAGUUAGCAAACACCCAGCUUAAGGAAGGUUUGGCUUCCCCAGGCUCUUUUGCAGGGAAAGCCUCGAACAGCCUGGCCUUUUCCACACUUUGCAUCAAACCUGGCAUUUAUGAAUGGAGGAAAUGUGACCUCAUGAGAGAGCUCAGAAAGCUUUUGGGUCCUCCCCCAACAUGAGCCCAGAAAGCCAGAGAAGGCAUCAAGACAGCUCACAUGGCAGGACAGAAGACUCUAGGGCGUCACGCAAUUGUCUCUGUAAGACUGACGCUUCUAGAACACACCCUCUGAGAAGGGAUUAGAAAAGAGUAGAGAUCUCCAUCCAAUGAAUUAAGGGAGUCACACAAGAGUUUUAGAGAAGGCUUUUGAUGCCUGAGGAAGUGAAAGAAAGGAAAGAGAGCGGAGAAAGGGAAGCUAUCUCCUCUCACACUGAGGAUAAAGAAUGGUGGAGUUCUGUUUUCCAUAAGCCAAAAGACUCAGACUCAGAAAGGGCUCAACAAAUCAAGACUUUAAUCACACAUCAAAACCAUCAUGACACAGGCCACCCAGAAUACUGGAGCCAGAGAGAGAGAGAGAGAGAGAGAGAGAGCCUGCGAGUCUUAGCAUCCUGCAGGCCUAGCUUGGUGUGGACCCUCCAUGAGUAAGCAGCAUGGUGGGGGAGGCAGAGAGAGGAAUGAGGAACUACUUGGACACCUUGGGGUGAGGGAUGCAGGUUGGCAGGGAGUAGAAAGAAAGAAGGUUGGAAUGGAGGAAAAGCACAGCUGGGGAGAGGAAUGGUAACUCACCUCUGUAGCUGCCUCCUAGUACCGCAUGCUCUCUACUGCUCCUGGGGUUCCUGCCCACCUACCCCCAGUUAGCUCCACCCCUGUCCUCAGUCAUCCCAACUAUCAGUCUGCCACAGUCCCCUAGAGGGGUGUGGCUUCACUUUCUCUGCUUAAGACCUAUAAGAGAGGCUACAGAUCUACUUUUAACAACCCGGACUGCCUUGCCUCCUCAGCCUAAUUCACUUGUGAGUUCUGUAUAGUCAAAGAUGUGAACCUGUGGUGACAGGGACUUUGGGAUAGUCAGAGUUGAAGCCUCAUCUCUGCCAUUUACUAGUUGAGUCACCUUGGGCACGUCAUCCCUCCCUCAGUCACCUCAUGCAUCAAGUGUCAUGGUCUCCUCCAGAGGUGGGGGUGAAGAUGAAGUGCCAUGCAUGAGGAAGCAGUCUGUGAGCACAACACAGCAUUGAGCUGCUAUUAGUUCUACAUCCUGGAGGUGGCCAUAGCAAGGAGUAGCUGGAAAAGCACUUCUGAUACCUCAGAAGUGUAAGCAUAGAAACACAGAAUGGGAAGCAGCAGGCAGAGGAAAAGCCAAGGCUCCUCCUUUCCCUGGCUUAGUUCACCAGGCCUCCCUUACUCUAUGAGACUGACCCUUGUCCUCUGGACCACAGCAAAGACUAGGUGUGUGUGACUCAGAUCCUCCCAGCCGACUCUGAGGGGGGCAACCCCAGGAAGCCUGUGGUGGUCUUCGAAGAGAAAAAUCUCCUUUUCUUGGGCUGAUGACAAAUGACAUUUCUCUGAAAUCAAAACCAGGGGUUUCUUUCAUUUUCUGCUCAAGGGGUCAAGGUCCCUGGAGAUUUCCACCUCCUUUGACACCUUUAGCGCCCCCCUCCCAUAUGUCUUCUUCCUGUGUAGCUCAGACUGGUCUUGAAAUCUCUAUCAUCCUGUCUCAGCCAAUGCCACCACGCCCAGUUUUGAUACUCUUUAAAUUGAGAAAGGGAUAAAAAGCUUUUGAGACUCAAA